rnacentral:miRNA from 1 species
AGUUGGAGGUUAGAUCUCGGGCA